GGUCUGCCUGGGAUUCAGCUGGUUGUGUUUUGUGUUUUUUUACCAGACAAAGUGGCCAUCAAGAGUGCUUUGGAGACAGUCAGAGAGCCAGGCAGCCCCUGAAGCAGGAGAGCAGCCUAAGGAGGGUGCAGACUGGGGAGAUGUCUUGGGACUGUGUCCCCGGGGGUUCCUGGAGAGAUCCACCUAGAGGAAGCUUUGCAGACCAACUGAAAAAGAGGUGCAGAACAACCUUCAUUUCUCCUUACCCUGGCAAGGACUGGAGUUUGACAGCAUACUGAUGAAAAAAGACAUUAUGUGAAUGACAGAAAAGACAUACAGUAGCAAGGGUGAUCCUAGUACAUACUGAUAUAUACAGAGAGAUAACACAGAACGCCUUCAUUUAAUUUUCUCUUCUGCAAAAGAGAUGGAAUGAGAUGAGUAAAGGAGGUUUUCAUUUCAAGAUACAUGCUAAUUGCCACUCUGCCUCUCAGGAAAACAUCCCAUGAAGAAAAUGCAGCCUUCCCUGAAGAACAGAGAAGACUGCAAAAUGCUGUUCUGAAUUCAUGAGCUUCAUGGUUUGAAGUUUUAAAUU
rnacentral:lncRNA from 1 species